CCGCCCGUCACACCAUGGGAGUUGUAAUGCCCAAAGCCGGUGGCCUAACCUUUUAGGAAAGGAGCCGUCUAAGGCAGGACAGAUGACUGGGGUGAMGUCGUAACAAGGUAGCCGUAGGAGAACCUGCGGCUGGAUCACCUCCUUUCUAAGGAUAAUCGGAAAGCGACAGUGACUUAGAUGUCAGUUCGUGAAGUUCAAAGUUUUGUUUAGUUUUGAGUGUGAUACUGAAAUAGGUAUCAUGUUCAGAAGUGAUCCUAUGGGGAAUUAGCUCAGCUGGGAGAGCACCUGCUUUGCAAGCAGGGGGUCAGCGGUUCGAUCCCGCUAUUCUCCAUAGCUAGUCGCAAGGCUAGCGAGUUGCACAUUGAAAACUGAAUAGUAACAAAUUCUUUUAAAAACAAUCGUAAGACCUUGUAAUAAAUGAACUCGAGAAACAACACAAAAAAGUUCUUUAAUAAAGAACGGUUUAAUCGCAGGUCUGAAAAAUGACCAACUCAUAAACUUAAACCACAGUCU
rnacentral:misc_RNA from 1 species